rnacentral:rRNA from 2 species
CACGCAGUAAACGAUGAAUACUAGCUGUAUGCGAUAUACUGUAUGUGGCAAAGCGAAAGCGUUAAGUAUUCCACCUGGGGAGUACGUUCGCAAGAAUGAAACUCAAAGGAAUUGACGGGGGCCCGCACAAGCGGAGGAACAUGUGGUUUAAUUCGAUGAUACGCGAGGAACCUUACCCGGGCUUGAAAUGCAUCUGACCGAUCUGGAAACAGAUUUUCUAGCAAUAGCAGAUGUGUAGGUGC